GACGAACGCUGGCGGCGUGCUUAACACAUGCAAGUCGAACGGAAAGGCCCUGCUUUUGUGGGGUGCUCGAGUGGCGAACGGGUGAGUAACACGCGAGUAACCUGCCCUUGACUUUGGGAUAACUUCAGGAAACUGGGGCUAAUACCGGAUAGGAGCUCCUGCUGCAUGGUGGGGGUUGGAAAGUUUCGGCGGUUGGGGAUGGACUCGCGGCUUAUCAGCUUGUUGGUGGGGUAGUGGCUUACCAAGGCUUUGACGGGUAGCCGGCCUGAGAGGGCGACCGGCCACAUUGGGACUGAGAUACGGCCCAGACUCCUACGGGAGGCAGCAGUGGGGAAUAUUGCACAAUGGGCGGAAGCCUGAUGCAGCAACGCCGCGUGCGGGAUGACGGCCUUCGGGUUGUAAACCGCUUUCGCCUGUGACGAAGCGUGAGUGACGGUAAUGGGUAAAGAAGCACCGGCUAACUACGUGCCAGCAGCCGCGGUGAUACGUAGGGUGCGAGCGUUGUCCGGAUUUAUUGGGCGUAAAGGGCUCGUAGGUGGUUGAUCGCGUCGGAAGUGUAAUCUUGGGGCUUAACCCUGAGCGUGCUUUCGAUACGGGUUGACUUGAGGAAGGUAGGGGAGAAUGGAAUUCCUGGUGGAGCGGUGGAAUGCGCAGAUAUCAGGAGGAACACCAGUGGCGAAGGCGGUUCUCUGGGCCUUUCCUGACGCUGAGGAGCGAAAGCGUGGGGAGCGAACAGGCUUAGAUACCCUGGUAGUCCACGCUGUAAACGGUGGGUACUAGGUGUGGGGUCCAUUCCACGGGUUCCGUGCCGUAGCUAACGCUUUAAGUACCCCGCCUGGGGAGUACGGCCGCAAGGCUAAAACUCAAAGGAAUUGACGGGGCCCCGCACAAGCGGCGGAGCAUGCGGAUUAAUUCGAUGCAACGCGUAGAACCUUACCUGGGUUUGACAUGGAUCGGGAGCGCUCAGAGAUGGGUGUGCCUCUUUUGGGGUCGGUUCACAGGUGGUGCAUGGCUGUCGUCAGCUCGUGUCGUGAGAUGUUGGGUUAAGUCCCGCAACGAGCGCAACCCUUGUUCACUGUUGCCAGCACGUUAUGGUGGGGACUCAGUGGAGACCGCCGGGGUCAACUCGGAGGAAGGUGGGGAUGACGUCAAGUCAUCAUGCCCCUUAUGUCCAGGGCUUCACGCAUGCUACAAUGGCUGGUACAGAGAGUGGCGAGCCUGUGAGGGUGAGCGAAUCUCGGAAAGCCGGUCUCAGUUCGGAUUGGGGUCUGCAACUCGACCUCAUGAAGUCGGAGUCGCUAGUAAUCGCAGAUCAGCAACGCUGCGGUGAAUACGUUCCCGGGGCU
rnacentral:rRNA from 1 species